rnacentral:rRNA from 1 species
UGGCGGAUGGGUGAGUAACGCGUGGGUAACCUGCCUUACACAGGGGGAUAACAACCGGAAACGGUUGCUAAAACCGCAUGAAGUAUGAACAUCGCAUGAUGAUCAUAUUAAAUAUUUAUAGGUGUAAGAUGGGCCCGCGUCUGAUUAGCUAGUUGGUGGGGUAAUAGCCUACCAAGGCGAUGAUCAGUAGCCGGCUUGAGAGAGUGACCGGCCACAUUGGGACUGGGACACGGCCCAAACUCCUACGGGAGGCAGCAGUGGGGAAUCUUGCACAAUGGGCGAAAGCCUGAUGCAGCGACGCCGCGUGAGUGAAGACGUACUUCGGUAUGUAAAGCUCUAUCAGCAGGGACGAUAAUGACGGUACCUGACUAAGAAGCCCCGGCUAACUACGUGCCAGUAGCCGCGGUAAUACGUAGGGGGCAAGCGUUAUCCGGAUUUACUGGGUGUA